CCUACGGGAGGCAGCAGUGGGGAAUAUUGGACAAUGGGGGCAACCCUGAUCCAGCCAUGCCGCGUGUGUGAAGAAGGCCCUCGGGUUGUAAAGCACUUUCAGUGAGGAAGAACGCCUGGUGGUUAAUACCCAUCAGGAAAGACAUCACUCACAGAAGAAGCACCGGCUAACUCCGUGCCAGCAGCCGCGGUAAUACGGAGGGUGCGAGCGUUAAUCGGAAUUACUGGGCGUAAAGCGCGCGUAGGUGGCUUGAUAAGCCGGUUGUGAAAGCCCCGGGCUCAACCUGGGAACGGCAUCCGGAACUGUCAAGCUAGAGGGCAGGAGAGGAAGGUAGAAUUCCCGGUGUAGCGGUGAAAUGCGUAGAGAUCGGGAGGAAUACCAGUGGCGAAGGCGGCCUUCUGGACUGACACUGACACUGAGGUGCGAAAGCGUGGGUAGCAAACAGGAUUAGAUACCCGAGUAGUA
rnacentral:rRNA from 1 species